UCAUUAAAUCAGUUAUCGUUUAUUUGAUAGUACCUUACUACAUGGAUAACCGUGGUAAUUCUAGAGCUAAUACAUGCUAAAAACCCCAACUUCGGGAGGGGUGUAUUUAUUAGAUAAAAAACCAAUGCCCUUCGGGGCUCUUUGGUGAUUCAUGAUAACUUCUCAGAUCGCAUGGCCUUGCGCCGGCGACGGUUCAUUCAAAUUUCUGCCCUAUCAACUUUCGAUGGUAAGGUAUUGGCUUACCAUGGUUUCAACGGGUAACGGGGAAUUAGGGUUCGAUUCCGGAGAGGGAGCCUGAGAAACGGCUACCACAUCCAAGGAAGGCAGCAGGCGCGCAAAUUACCCAAUCCCGACACGGGGAGGUAGUGACAAUAAAUACUGAUACAGGGCUCUUUUGGGUCUUGUAAUUGGAAUGAGUACAAUUUAAACCUCUUAACGAGGAACAAUUGGAGGGCAAGUCUGGUGCCAGCAGCCGCGGUAAUUCCAGCUCCAAUAGCGUAUAUUAAAGUUGUUGCAGUUAAAAAGCUCGUAGUUGAACCUUUGGCCUGGCUGGCAGGUCCGCCUCACCGCGUGCACUUGUCCGGCCGGGCCUUCUUUUCUGGAGAACCGCAUGCCCUUCACUGGGUGUGCUGGGGACCAGGACUUUUACUUUGAAAAAAUUAGAGUGUUCAAAGCAGGCCUUUGCUCGAAUACGUUAGCAUGGAAUAAUAGAAUAGGACGUGCGGUCCUAUUUUGUUGGUUUCUAGGACCGCCGUAAUGAUUAAUAGGGACAGUCGGGGGCAUCAGUAUUCAAUUGUCAGAGGUGAAAUUCUUGGGAUUUAUUGAAGACUAACUACUGC
rnacentral:rRNA from 1 species